UUUCUGUUGGAGAUCCCUGUCUAUCUUAGAUCUUCUGAAGGAAUUCCCUGCUUUAAAAUGCUGGCUGCAGAGAAGGCAUCACUAUAGCCUUGUCAGAGGGAGCUAAUGCAGCAGCGCUACAUGGCCUUGCUUCUUCCGUUGCAGAAAAAUGCAUGCGGAUUGCCAGUGAGAGAAGAGUAAUUUAGUACGCUGGUGAAGGAAUAAAAGCAACACUGAUCUCAGAGGUGUGAACCAUGCUCACAGGAUGGUGGUUGUGCAGCAGGUCAAUGUAUUUUUGAAACCUCCUGCAGAAUAAUGUUGCAGGGAUAAAUUUCUUGCUUCAGUGAUGAAGAUAGAUUAGAAUGACUGUUCUUGGCCUAUUUUAUUAAAUGGUUUUCCUACGGUUUGCAUCAUCAACUGUUCUGCUAGAAGAAAAUUUGUGGCAUUUCCUUUCAGCAUCAUGUGUUCUACAGAACAGGAGUUCUGACUACCUCCAUUAUGAUGUUCUUUCCUCAUUGCCUGCAUCUUAUCAGCCCCUGGGCUGCAGGCAGAAAAAAGUAGACCCCCUGGGCUGAUCUGAAUGCUGUCAUUCAUGAUAAAGUGAGUAUUAGCUUGAAACAACUGUAAUAUAACUUGUGGACAAAUCUGUUCAGAAGUGUUGUUGAGUUCACUGAAAUCAGCAGUGUUCGCUGUUUGUUGAUGGACUGUUUGAGUCUUGCGGAUUUUGUGUCAUGUAUUUCUAGCUUACAUCCAGAGGCCUCAAUUACAGAGGGAUCAAGUGGUUUCCCAAACUUAGACUUACUUUUGUUACCUUGAACUAAAAUUUUUUGAAGGAAUUUAUCAGAGUAAGUUGUGACAACUUGUUCCUUUGAGUCUGUCCCUGGUCUGUCAGAAGAAGGUAUAAAAACUGUGUGUCAGAUGUCACAGCCGUAAAACAUGGGGAAUAUACCUACAAAUAUCUAAGUAAUGUGGGCCAUUACUUGGAAGCAUGAAAAGUAAUUCUUUCUUCUUUGAGAAAAGGUUUUGUGCACUUCAGAGUAUCUGGCACUCAAUACCUCAACUUAUAUGUGGUCAGUCAGCCAAGAAGGCUACUGUUUCAUAGAAUAGUUGACGUUGGAAAAGGCUUUCACGUUCAUCUAGUCCAACCAAGUCCCCACCUCCAGGGGCAGUGACUGUGACCUCCCUGGGCAGCCUUUACUACUGUCCAGCCACUCUUUCUGACAAGGAGUCUCUCCUAAUAGCCAACCUUAGCCUCUGCAGACAAAACUUGAGGCCAUUUCUCUCUAGUUCUAUUGCUGUUACCUGGAACAACAGGCCGACAGCCUUCUCACCACAACCUCAUUUCAGGGAGUUGAACAGAACUGUGAUGUCUCCCCUGAGCCUCCUCUUUUCUAAAGACAGAAGACAUGUCUCCUGAUUCAAAACCCAACCAAUUUUUUCUGUAGUUUUUUGUGCAGCUGUUCAGCCCUCUGCAAAAUUAAGUUUUAUUUUUAUGUGAAAAAUAAAAAAUAGUACAUUUUC
ensembl:lncRNA